UCCGGAGUCCCCGAUGGCGAGGGACGCCAGCCUUUCGAGCUGGAAGUCGAGGGUUCAAUUCCCUUCGGA
rnacentral:tRNA from 1 species